GCUGGGUGUGGUGAUGCAUGCCUGUAAUCCCAGUGGCUCAGAAGGCUGAGGCAGGAGGAUCAUAAGUUCAAAGUCUGCCUCAGCAACUUAGCAAGGUCUUUAGCAACUCAGUGAGACCCUGUCUCUA
rnacentral:sRNA from 1 species